GACGAACGCUGGCGGCGUGCCUAAUACAUGCAAGUAGAACGCUGAAGGAGGAGCUUGCUUCUCUGGAUGAGUUGCGAACGGGUGAGUAACGCGUAGGUAACCUGCCUGGUAGCGGGGGAUAACUAUUGGAAACGAUAGCUAAUACCGCAUAAGAGUAGAUGUUGCAUGACAUUUACUUAAAAGGUGCAAUUGCAUCACUACCAGCUGGACCUGCGUUGUAUUAGCUAGUUGGUGAGGUAACGGCUCACCAAGGCAACGAUACAUAGCCGACCUGAGAGGGUGAUCGGCCACACUGGGACUGAGACACGGCCCAGACUCCUACGGGAGGAAGCAGUAGGGAAUCGUCGGCAAUGGACGGAAGUAUGACCGAGCAACGCAGCGUGAGUGAAGAAGGUUUUCGGAUCGUAAAGCUCUGUUGUAAGAGAAGAACGAGUGUGAGAGUGGAAAGUUCACACUGUGACGGUAUCUUACCAGAAAGGGACGGCUAACUACGUG
rnacentral:rRNA from 1 species